rnacentral:rRNA from 1 species
UACGUAGGGUGCGAGCGUUAAUCGGAAUUACUGGGCGUAAAGCGUGCGUAGGCGGUUUCAUAAGCUUGAUGUGAAAGCCCCGGGCUCAACCUGGGAAUGGCAUUGAGGACUGUGGAGCUAGAGUGCGGCAGAGGGAGGUGGAAUUCCACGUGUAGCAGUGAAAUGCGUAGAGAUGUGGAGGAACACCGAUGGCGAAGGCAGCCUCCUGGGCCGACACUGACGCUGAGGGCACGAAAGCGUGGGGAGCAAACAGGAUUAGAUACCCUGGUAGUCCACGCCCUAAACGAUGUCAACUGGUUGUUGGGGAAGGCAACUUCCUUAGUAACGAAGCUAACGCGUGAAGUUGACCGCCUGGGGAGUACGGCCGCAAGGUUAAA